AACGAACGCUGGCGGCAGGCUUAACACAUGCAAGUCGAACGAACUCUUCGGAGUUAGUGGCGGACGGGUGAGUAACACGUGGGAACGUGCCCUUUGGUACGGAAUAACUCAGGGAAACUUGAGCUAAUACCGUAUGUGCCCUUCGGGGAAGGAUUUAUCGCCAUUGGAGCGGCCCGCGUUGGAUUAGGUAGUUGGUGAGGUAAAGGCUCACCAAGCCUACGAUCCAUAGCUGGUCUGAGAGGAUGAUCAGCACACUGGGACUGAGACACGGCCCAGACUCCUACGGGAGGCAGCAGUAGGGAAUCUUGCGCAAUGGGCGAAAGCCUGACGCAGCCAUGCCGCGUGGAUGAUGAAGGUCUUAGGAUUGUAAAAUCCUUUCACCGGUGAAGAUAAUGACUGUAGCCGGAGAAGAAGCCCCGGCUAACUUCGUGCCAGCCGCCGCAGUAACAC
rnacentral:rRNA from 1 species